UGGGGAAUAUUGGACAAUGGGCGAAAGCCUGAUCCAGCCAUGCCGCGUGUGUGAAGAAGGCCUUAUGGUUGUAAAGCACUUUAAGCGAGGAGGAGGGUACUGGUAUUAAUACUACCAGCUACUGGACGUUACUCGCAGAAUAAGCACCGGCUAACUCUGUGCCAGCAGCCGCGGUAAUACAGAGGGUGCGAGCGUUAAUCGGAUUUACUGGGCGUAAAGCGUGCGUAGGUGGUUCGUUAAGUUGAAUGUGAAAGCCCCGGGCUCAACCUGGGAACUGCAUCCAAAACUGGCGAGCUAGAGUAGGGCAGAGGGUGGUGGAAUUUCCUGUGUAGCGGUGAAAUGCGUAGAUAUAGGAAGGAACACCAGUGGCGAAGGCGACCACCUGGGCUCAUACUGACACUGAGGUGCGAAAGCGUGGGGAGCAAACAGG
rnacentral:rRNA from 1 species